GUGCUAGGGGGUCAGUUUGACUGGGGCGGUCUCCUCCCAAAGAAUAACGGAGGAUUACGAAGGUUUCCUCAUAUCGGUUGGCAAUCGAUAGUUGAGCACAUGAGUAGAAGGAAGCUUUACUGUGAGACCUACAAGUCGAGCAGUUGCGAAAGCAGGUUCAAGUGAUCCGGUGGUUGGAAAUGGAACUGCCAUCGCUUAAAGGAUAAAAGGUACCCUAGGGAUAACAGGCUGAUAGCGCCCAAGCGUUCAUAGCGACGGCGCUGUUUGGCACCUCGAUGUCGGCCCGUCACAUCCUGGGGCUGGAGAAGGUCCCAAGGGUUCGGCUGUUCGCCGAUUAAAGUGGCACGCGAGCUGGGUUCAAAACGUCGUGAGACAGUUUGGUUCUCUAUCCGCUGUGGGCGUUGGAAAUUUGAGGGGUUCAUUUCCUAGUACGAGAGGACCGGAAAUGACGAACCGCUGGUGUUCCAGUUAUUGCGUCAGCAGUAGCGCUGGGUAGCUAAGUUCGGACGAGAUAAGCGCUGAAAGCAUCUAAGCGCCAAGCUCUUCCCAAGAUAAGAUUUCCUUGAGGACUUGAUCCUCGAAAGAGUCCUGAUAGACCAUCAGGUUGAUAGGUCGCAUGUGUAAGCGCCGUAAGGUGUUGAGCUAAGCGAUACUAAUGACUCGAAAAUUUUUUCUUU
rnacentral:rRNA from 1 species